rnacentral:snoRNA from 1 species
GAGUGUGAUGAGAUGGUAUUGUCGCCCCAGGCUUACCAUCCGCUCGAUUUUGCGGCGGAUUAUGGUGAUCGACAUGUAAAUCUGACUC